AUUGAACGCUGGCGGCAUGCCUUACACAUGCAAGUCGAACGGCAGCACGGGUGCUUGCACCUGGUGGCGAGUGGCGAACGGGUGAGUAAUACAUCGGAACAUGUCCUGUAGUGGGGGAUAGCCCGGCGAAAGCCGGAUUAAUACCGCAUACGAUCUACGGAUGAAAGCGGGGGACCUUCGGGCCUCGCGCUAUAGGGUUGGCCGAUGGCUGAUUAGCUAGUUGGUGGGGUAAAGGCCUACCAAGGCGACGAUCAGUAGCUGGUCUGAGAGGACGACCAGCCACACUGGGACUGAGACACGGCCCAGACUCCUACGGGAGGCAGCAGUGGGGCAUUUUGGACAAUGGGCGAAAGCCUGAUCCAGCAAUGCCGCGUGUGUGUAGAAGGCCUUCGGGUUGUAAAGCACGUUUGUCCGGAAAGAAAUCCUUGGCCCUAAUACGGUCGGGGGGAUGACGGUACCGGAAGAAUAAGCACCGGCUAACUACGUG
rnacentral:rRNA from 1 species